rnacentral:rRNA from 1 species
GCUAGGAUGAACGCUAGCGGCAGGCUUAACACAUGCAAGUCGAGGGGCAGCGGGAUGUAGCAAUACAUUGCCGGCGACCGGCGGAUGGGUGCGUAACGCGUAUGCAACCUACCUUAUACAGGGGAAUAACCUUUCGAAAGGGAGACUAACACCCCAUAGUAUUGAUUUAAGGCAUCUUAGAUUAAUUAAAUAUUUAUAGGUAUAAGAUGGGCAUGCGUAUGAUUAGCUAGUUGGUAAGGUAACGGCUUACCAAGGCGACGAUCAUUAGGGGUUCUGAGAGGAAGGUCCCCCACACUGGUACUGAGACACGGACCAGACUCCUACGGGAGGCAGCAGUGAGGAAUAUUGGUCAAUGGGCGCAAGCCUGAACCAGCCAUGCCGCGUGCAGGAAAGACGGCCUUAUGGGUUGUAAACUGCUUUUACAUAAGACUAACCGUAUAUUUGCGAAUAUACCUGAAUGUAUUAUGAGAAUAAGGAUCGGCUAACUCCGUGCCAGCAGCCGC